rnacentral:rRNA from 1 species
AACGAACGCUGGCGGCAGGCCUAACACAUGCAAGUCGAGCGAGACCUUCGGGUCUAGCGGCGGACGGGUGAGUAACGCGUGGGAAUAUGCCCUUUGGUACGGAAUAGCCUCGGGAAACUGAGAGUAAUACCGUAUGUGCCCUUCGGGGGAAAGAUUUAUCGCCAAAGGAUUAGCCCGCGUUGGAUUAGGUAGUUGGUGGGGUAAUGGCCUACCAAGCCUACGAUCCAUAGCUGGUUUGAGGAUGAUCAGCCACACUGGGACUGAGACACGGCCCAGACUCCUACGGGAGGCAGCAGUGGGGAAUCUUAGACAAUGGGGGCAACCCUGAUCUAGCCAUGCCGCGUGAGUGAUGAAGGCCUUAGGGUUGUAAAGCUCUUUCAGCUGGGAAGAUAAUGACGGUACCAGCAGAAGAAGCCCCGGCUAACUCCGUGCCAGCCGCCGCAGUAAGAC